UGCCGUUUCGGCUUACUACCUUUCGCAGCCGGAAGAGGAAGUGUAAUGUAUUUGUUGAUGGUGUCAUGGUCACCGCUGUUGACUGAUGAAAGUAUCAACUACUUUCAGGUGAUGCACAAUGUGAUGGCUGCAGUGAACUGUUGCUGAUGUUGACAUGGGAUGUGCUUUGUCAUCUUCAAAGCACAACAGUAAAGCACCUGCUAACUCAGCCGGCCGAAAUAUACGCAUCAACAUAAUUGAACCGACAAGCAUUGGGGAACACAGUGAUAUAGCAUUGCAGUCUCCAAGUUCCCAGCCCAGUGAAUCUGGUGUUGUGUCUACAGAUACCCAGACUCAAGACGUG